AUUAAAGGCCGACAAAUCUUGCUAUCUUAGUGAAUUUACAGCGCUGCCCCUUUUUUUUUCGUUAACCGCGUGGUUCCAGGAAGAUGGACAAUUAAUCUUUACCUUGGAUGAAGAUAUGUCCUCCCAGACGACGCACUUUAACAUUGGAAGAACGUGUUCAUGCUGUUAAAAAUUAUUAUUCAUCUGGUUAGUUAUAAAAAUGUUAUUGAUCAUUGAAAUAAAUCAUUUGAUAUGCCAUUUCCUGCAAAAUCGACCAUCUACAAAUUGGUACUAAAAUUCGAACAAACUGGCAACGUUGCAGAUGCGGAUAAACCUUAGUGCACCAAGAACAGUAAGGACUGUUGCUCAUAAAGAUUUAGUAGCCGCAUCAUACGUUAUAAGCCCUCGGAAAUCCCGGAGACGUUUCGUAAUCGUCUUUACAACGCAUCAGGUCAGAGAUCGGCUUGAAGUCAUAUCAUCCACAUGCACUCCAAGCUCUUAAGAAAGAUGACGAAGACAGGUGUCUUCAAUUUUGUGAAACUUUUGUGGCUUUGUUGUGAAGAGUCUCCAGAUUUUUGAACCACAUUGUUCGGUCAGACGAAGCUUGCGUUAAACUAAAUGGACGGCUGAAUCGGUAUAACUGCGUCUGUUGGUCAGAUUCAAAUCCACAUGAAACAUUGUAACAGGAGCUUAAUUUACCUGGUGUCAGUGUUUGGGGUAGCAUUUGCAACACUGGAUUAACUGGCCCUUUUUUUUCUUUGAUAGCAUAGUGACGGCCGAAUCAUAUCUAAAAAUGUUUAAAAAGUUGUGGCCUAUAGUGUCUCAGCAUGAAGAUUACGCCGAUUUGUGCUUUCAGCAGGAAGUAAAUUUAAGGCCUACCUGUUCGAAACUUGCUUGAUGCGCAUUCUCCGAGCAGUACUCAAAAAUCAGGUGUUCAGUGCUAAAGCAAAAACUCUCAAUGAUCUGAAACAGAGCAUCAUAAAUGCACGGCAAGAUAUUACACCGGAGUUGUGCAUAAGAGUAACUGAUUCAACCAUAGAACGAUGUCAUAAUUGUAUUGCAAAAAAUGGUUUACAUUUUGAACAUUUUCUAUAACCUUGUGUAAUAAAAAUUUCUAUUCCAUUUA